GAUGAACGCUGGCGGCGUGCCUAAUACAUGCAAGUCGAGCGAACAGACGAGGAGCUUGCCGCUCUGACGUUUGCGGCGUACGGAAGUGUAACACGUGCAUAACCUACCUAUAAGACUGGGAUAAUUUCGCGAAACCGGAUCUAAUUCCGGCUAAUAUAUUUAAUCGCAUGUAUCUAUAGUGAAAGACGGCUUUGCUUUCCCUUAUAUAUGGAUCCGGGCCGCAUUAGCUAGUUGGUAAGGUACCUGCUUACCAAGGGAACGAUGCGUAGCAGACAUGAGAGGGUGAGCGGCCACACUGGAACUGAGACACGGUCCAGACUGCUAGGGGAGGCAGCAUUAGGGAUUCGUCGGGCAUGGGCGGAGGACUGACGGAGCAGCGCCGAGAGAGUGAUGAAGGUAUUCGGAUCGUACGACUCUGUUAUUAGGAAAGAAAAAAGGUGUAAGUAACGAUGAAAAUCAUGACGGUACCAAAAGAGGAAGCCACGGCUAACUACGUG
rnacentral:rRNA from 1 species